GCCCAGCCGUAAACUUUUAAUUACAUCUAAACCGCCUGGGAACUACGAGCAAAGCUUAAAACCCAAAGGACUUGACGGUUCCCCAUAUCCCCCUAGAGGAGCCUGUCCUAUAAUCGAUGAUCCACGUUUAACCUCACCAUUUUUAGUAUAUUCAGCCUGUAUACCUCCGUCGCCAGCUCACCACGUGAGUGAAACAUCAGUGAGCUAAACGGUUACCCCCCAUACGUCAGGUCAAGGUGCAGCUAACAAAAUGGGAAGAGAUGGGCUACACUUUCUAACUUAGAAGACACGAAAGACUAUAUAUGAAACCUAGUCGAAAGGCGGAUUUAGUAGUAAGAAGGGACCAGAAUGCCCUUCUUAACCUGGCACUGGGGCGCGUACACACCGCCCGUCACCCUCUUCAAAGCCAAAUAACAGUUCUUAACCCCUGCCUGCGUCAAAGAAGAGGCAAGUCGUAACAUGGUAAGUAUACCGGAAGGUGUGCUUGGAAAC
rnacentral:rRNA from 1 species